UCAAUCUUUUUUCUUCCUACUCCUGGGCUUUCCUGUUUUCUUCCAGCUCUGCAAGGAGGCUACCUGCCCUGUUCACCAUAAGAAAAUGCCUUAUGGAUCUAUCACCAGUGGAGGUAACCUGAAGAGCUAUAGCCUUUUUUGAGGACCCUUAAGACAAGGCUUUCAACCUGUAGGUGGGCUGCAAAGGCUGUGUGGGGGCUGUCCAUGGAGACCACAGGACUGGGAAAGACCUUACAGGCAGGACAUUGAAGAAGGACAGAUGCCCACAGGAGCAAGAGCAAGAAACAAAUAGAGAUGUGGAUGGAGAUGUUCACACCGUGACUUAAGAGAGAGGCAUUUCGGAAAUACUGUAAAUAUCCAGCUGGAGGGAUACAAUUGGGGUUUCUCAAGUGCUCAGCAGCACCGGAAUGGCCUAGAGUGGAGCAGGGAUCACAGCUGUUGAUCAAGCUAUGCCUCCUGUCAGUGCAGCCCAGAGGGCAGUUGCUGAAGCAAGCGCAGCAGUGGUGGGAAGAUGCUGGAGCCAUUUCUUCAGGUCACCCUUGGGGAGGAGCGUCUUCAGCUGGACCACCUGAAAACCCAGCUCUUGAAUGCCAUUUGGUGGUGCACAGGCUUUAAGCUAAAUCCUUGAAGGCCAACCACAAAGGAGCUCUUGGAUCCCAAGUCUUAUGUGAGUAACUUCUGAAUGUAUAAAACCAUGCAAAUUCCAAAGACCCCAGGGAUUGUGGGAGGUGAUGAAUAGUAUGUGGGCUGGAUAUUAUGCCUCAGCGGGUGUGCAGAGCUGAGUGCAUGGUGGGAACCCCCACCUAGUGGGGCCAGUGUUCCCAUGCAGUAUCCCUUCUCUUCUUGUUUUCUCCUCCCCAGAAUCGUC
rnacentral:lncRNA from 1 species